UGGUGUCUUACUAAUGACAAUAGUCUCUUC
rnacentral:piRNA from 1 species